rnacentral:lncRNA from 1 species
GUUGUCAGAUUAUUGGCAUUAACGCUAGCCAUUAAUUCCAAAAGCUUGAGUUACCAGAAAUAUACAACUAAUUCACUUAAAACGUACAGAUAGAGUCCCCACGGGUCUUGAUUAUGACUCGGCUCAAUUCGACCUCGAUUCCGUAAUUUAGAACGUGACUUGACUUAAUCUGACUUCUCGUCAUAGGGCAGGAUAUAUAUAUAUACUGUCUCUUUUAAGCCAACAAUCUCCCAAUAUCUAUGCAAAUUCAUAGCAUACGGGAAUUAAAUCUAUAACCUUUGGUUUUGAUACCAGUUGUUGCAUAUAUCAAUGGUACUAACCAUGAAAUCUAAAAGCUCGAGCUGUUAAAACUAAUUCACUUAAAUCAUACAGACAUAGUGCGCACGUGUCUCAAUUAUGACUCGAUUCAACUAACAUUCCGCCACUUCGAAUAUGACUCAAUACAACCUGAUCUCCCGCUAUUUCGAAUGUAACUUAAUCCAACCUAGUCUGCCGCGAC